AGCCUAUGAUGAGUUCUUACUUCUGGUCCGUGUUGUUGAUAACAUAUGAUAACAAUUGAAGUUCUGAGCUG